GACGAACGCUGGCGGCGUGCUUAACACAUGCAAGUCGAACGGAAAGGCCCUGCUUGCAGGGUGCUCGAGUGGCGAACGGGUGAGUAACACGUGGGUGAUCUGCCCCUUACUUUGGGAUAAGCCUGGGAAACUGGGUCUAAUACUGGAUAGGACCAUGCUGUAGGUGGUGUGGUGGAAAGAUUAGUUUCGGUAAGGGAUGAGCUCGCGGCCUAUCAGCUUGUUGGUGGGGUAAUGGCCUACCAAGGCGUCGACGGGUAGCCGGCCUGAGAGGGUGGACGGCGACAUUGGGACUGAGAUACGGCCCAGACUCCUACGGGAGGCAGCAGUGGGGAAUAGUGCACAAUGGGCGCAAGCCUGAUGCAGCGACGCCGCGUGGGGGAUGACGGCCUUCGGGUUGUAAACUCCUUUCAGCCAUGACGAAGCCCUUGUGGUGACGGUAGUGGUAGAAGAAGCACCGGCUAACUACGUG
rnacentral:rRNA from 1 species